GGGGGUGUAGCUCAGUGGUAGAGUGCUUGUCUGGCACACUCAAGGCCCUGGUUUUGAUCCCAGCACCACCC
rnacentral:tRNA from 1 species